UGCAAACUGCGAAUACCGGAGAAUGUUAUCACGGGAGACACACGGCGGGUGCUAACGUCCGUCGUGAAGAGGGAAACAACCCAGACCGCCAGCUAAGGUCCCAAAGUCAUGGUUAAGUGGGAAACGAUGUGGGAAGGCCCAGACAGCCAGGAUGUUGGCUUAGAAGCAGCCAUCAUUUAAAGAAAGCGUAAUAGCUCACUGGUCGAGUCGGCCUGCGCGGAAGAUGUAACGGGGCUAAACCAUGCACCGAAGCUGCGGCAGCGACACUCAGGUGUUGUUGGGUAGGGGAGCGUUCUGUAAGCCUGUGAAGGUGGCCUGUGAGGGUUGCUGGAGGUAUCAGAAGUGCGAAUGCUGACAUAAGUAACGAUAAAGCGGGUGAAAAGCCCGCUCGCCGGAAGACCAAGGGUUCCUGUCCAACGUUAAUCGGGGCAGGGUGAGUCGACCCCUAAGGCGAGGCCGAAAGGCGUAGUCGAUGGGAAACGGGUUAAUAUUCCCGUACUUGGUGUUACUGCGAAGGGGGGACGGAGAAGGCUAUGUUGGCCGGGCGACGGUUGUCCCGGUUUAAGCGUGUAGGUGUGUGUUCCAGGUAAAUCCGGUUCACUUUAACACUGAGGCGUGACGACGAGGCACUACGGUGCUGAAGCAACAAAUGCCCUGCUUCCAGGAAAAGCCUCUAAGCAUCAGGUAACAUCAAAUCGUACCCCAAACCGACACAGGUGGUCAGGUAGAGAAUACCAAGGCGCUUGAGAGAACUCGGGUGAAGGAACUAGGCAAAAUGGUGCCGUAACUUCGGGAGAAGGCACGCUGACAUGUAGGUGAAGUGAUUUACUCA
rnacentral:rRNA from 1 species